rnacentral:other from 1 species
GCGGGGCUGCGGGGUGCGUGUAGGAUUACUAUAACCCGGGGCCUUAUCGAUCUCUCAGGGAGCUGUCCCUGGCCUUGUCCGUGGACUCGGCCACACGGCGCCCACCUACGUUGUAGGUUCCCGGGAUCGAUAUCCCACGGCUUUUGUGGCUCCGCG